rnacentral:rRNA from 1 species
AGUGAGGAAUAUUGGUCAAUGGGCGCAAGCCUGAACCAGCCAUGUCGCGUGCAGGAUGACGGCCCUAUGGGUUGUAAACUGCUUUUUUACAGGAAUAAUUGCAGAUACGUGUAUUUGUUUGAAGGUACUGUAGGAAUAAGGAUCGGCUAACUCCGUGCCAGCAGCCGCGGUAAUACGGAGGAUUCGAGCGUUAUCCGGAUUUAUUGGGUUUAAAGGGUCCGUAGGCGGGCUAAUAAGUCAGUGGUGAAAUCCCAGAGCUCAACUCUGGAACUGCCAUUGAUACUGUUAGUCUUGAAUUUAGUUGAGGUGGGCGGAAUACGUUAUGUAGCGGUGAAAUGCAUAGAUAUAACGUAGAACACCGAUUGCGAAGGCAGCUCACUAAACUAACAUUGACGCUGAUGGACGAAAGCGUGGGGAGCGAACAGGAUUAGAUACCCUGGUAGUCCACGCCGUAAACGAUGAUUACUCGUUGUGCACAAUACAUCGUGCGUGACUGAGCGAAAGCAUUAAGUAAUCCACCUGGGGAGUACGUUCGCAAGAAUGAAACUCAAAGGAAUUGACGGGGGCCCGCACAAGCGGAGGAACAUGUGGUUUAAUUCGAUGAUACGCGAGGAACCUUACCUGGACUUAAAUGUAGAUUGACCCUCUUAGAAAUAGGAGUUCUCUUCGGAGCAAUUUACAAGGUGCUGCAUGGUUGUCGUCAGCUCGUGCCGUGAGGUGUCGGGUUAAGUCCCAUAACGAGCGCAACCCCUAUCGUUAGUUGCUAGCAGGUAAUGCUGAGGACUCUAGCGAGACUGCCACCGUAAGGUGAGAGGAAGGUGGGGAUGACGUCAAAUCAGCACGGCCCUUACGUCCAGGGCUACACACGUGUUACAAUGGCCGAUACAAAGGGCAGCUACCAGGUGACUGGAUGCUAAUCUCCAAAGUCGGUCUCAGUUCGGAUCGGAGUCUGCAACUCGACUCCGUGAAGUUGGAUUCGCUAGUAAUCGCAUAUCAGCAACGAUGCGGUGAAUACGUUCCCGGGCCUUGUACACACCGCCCGUCAAGCCAUGGAAGCCGAGGGGACCUGAAGUUCGUAACCGCAAGGAGCGACCUAGGGUAAAAUUGGUAACUGGGGCU